rnacentral:rRNA from 1 species
UACGAAGGGUGCUAGCGUUGUUCGGAAUUACUGGGCGUAAAGCGCGCGUAGGCGGUUUUGCAAGCCAGAGGUGAAAUGCCUGAGCUCAACUUAGGAAUUGCCUUUGGGACUGCGAGGCUUUGAGGACGGGAGAGGUGAGUGGAAUUCCCAGUGUAGAGGUGAAAUUCGUAGAUAUUGGGAAGAACACCGGUGGCGAAGGCGGCUCACUGGCCCGUUUCUGACGCUGCAGCGCGAAAGCGUGGGGAUCAAACAGG